AUUGAACGCUGGCGGAAUGCUUUACACAUGCAAGUCGAACGGCAGCACGGACUUCGGUCUGGUGGCGAGUGGCGAACGGGUGAGUAAUGUAUCGGAACGUGCCCAGUCGUGGGGGAUAACGUAGUGAAAAUUACGCUAAUACCACAUACGAUCUAUGGAUGAAAGCGGGGGAUCGCAAGACCUCGCGCGAUUGGAGCGGCCGAUAUCAGAUUAGGUAGUUGGUGGGGUAAAGGCCCACCAAGCCAACGAUCUGUAGCUGGUCUGAGAGGACGACCAGCCACACUGGAACUGAGACAGGGUCCAGACUCCUACGGGAGGCAGCAGUGGGGAAUUUUGGACAAUGGGCGAAAGCCUGAUCCAGCCAUUCCGCGUGCAGGAUGAAGGCCCUCGGGUUGUAAACUGCUUUUGUACAGAACGAAAAGGUUUCUACUAAUACUAGGAGCUCAUGACGGUACUGUAAGAAUAAGCACCGGCUAACUACGUGCCAGCCGCCGCGGUAA
rnacentral:rRNA from 1 species